ACUAAGCGUACACGGUGGAUGCCUUGGCAGUCAGAGGCGAUGAAGGACGUGCUACCCUGCGAAAAGGGUUGGUGAGCUGGGAUGGAGCGCUAUAGCCAACCAUGUCCGAAUGGGGAAACCCACCUAAGAUAACUUAGGUAUCGUUAAGUGAAUACAUAGCUUAACGAGGCGAACCGGGAGAACUGAAACAUCUAAGUACCCCGAGGAAAAGAAAUCAACCGAGAUUCCGUUAGUAGCGGCGAGCGAACGCGGAGCAGCCCAGAGUCUGAAUCAGUGGAUGCGUUAGUGGAACGGAUUGGAAAGUCCGGCGAUACAGGGUGAUAGCCCCGUACACGAAGACGCAUUGCUGUGAGCUCGAUGAGUAGGACGGGACACGUGGUAUCCUGUUUGAAGAUGGGGGGACCAUCCUCCAAGGCUAAAUACUCCUGACUGACCGAUAGCGAACCAGUACCGUGAGGGAAAGGCGAAAAGAACCCCUGUGAGGGGAGUGAAAUAGAACCUGAAACCGUGUACGUACAAGCAGUGGGAGCACCUUCGUGGUGUGACUGCGUACCUUUUGUAUAAUGGGUCAGCGACUUACAUUUUGUAGCGAGGUUAACCGAAUAGGGGAGCCGUAGGGAAACCGAGUCUUAACUGGGCGAAUUAGUUGCAAGGUGUAGACCCGAAACCCGGUGAUCUAGCCAUGGGCAGGUUGAAGGUUGGGUAACACUAACUGGAGGACCGAACCGACUAAUGUUGAAAAAUUAGCGGAUGACUUGUGGCUGGGGGUGAAAGGCCAAUCAAACCGGGAGAUAGCUGGUUCUCCCCGAAAGCUAUUUAGGUAGCGCCUCGGACGAACACCUACGGGGGUAGAGCACUGUUAAGGCUAGGGGGUCAUCCCGACUUACCAACCCUUUGCAAACUCCGAAUACCGUAGAGUGCUAUCCGGGAGACACACGGCGGGUGCUAACGUCCGUCGUGAAGAGGGAAACAACCCAGACCGCCAGCUAAGGUCCCAAAGUCAUGGUUAAGUGGGAAACGAUGUGGGAAGGCUUAGACAGCUAGGAUGUUGGCUUAGAAGCAGCCAUCAUUUAAAGAAAGCGUAAUAGCUCACUAGUCGAGUCGGCCUGCGCGGAAGAUGUAACGGGGCUAAACCAUGCACCGAAGCUGCGGCAAUGACAUUUAGGUGUUAUUGGGUAGGGGAGCGUUCUGUAAGCGGUUGAAGGUGUACUGUGAGGUAUGCUGGACGUAUCAGAAGUGCGAAUGCUGACAUAAGUAACGAUAAAGCGGGUGAAAAGCCCGCUCGCCGGAAGACCAAGGGUUCCUGUUCAACGUUAAUCGGAGCAGGGUGAGUCGACCCCUAAGGCGAGGCUGAAAAGCGUAGUCGAUGGGAAACGGGUUAAUAUUCCCGUACUUGUGGUAACUGCGAAGGGGGGACGGAGAAAGUUAGGCUAUCCGGGCGACGGUUGUCCGGUUUAAGCGUGAAGGUGGAAGACUAGGCAAAUCGGUCUUUCAUUAACACUGAGGCGUGAUGACGAAGCACUACGGUGCUGAAGUAGCUGAUACUACGCUUCC
rnacentral:rRNA from 1 species